ACCCGCACAAGCGGUGGAUGAUGUGAUUAAUUCGAUGCAACGCGAAAACCUUACCUACCCUUGACAUGUCCGGAAUCCCGAAGAGAUUUGGGAGUGCUCGCAAGAGAACCGGAACACAGGUGCUGCAUGGCUGUCGUCAGCUCGUGUCGUGAGAUGUUGGGUUAAGUCCCGCAACGAGCGCAACCCUUGUCAUUAGUUGCCAUCAUUUGGUUGGGCACUCUAAUGAGACUGCCGGUGACAAACCGGAGGAAGGUGGGGAUGACGUCAAGUCCUCAUGGCCCUUAUGGGUAGGGCUUCACACGUCAUACAAUGGUCGGUACAGAGGAUUGCCAACCCGCGAGGGGGAGCUAAUCCCACAAAGCCGAUCGUAGUCCGGAUCGCAGUCUGCAACUCGACUGCGUGAAGUCGGAAUCGCUAGUAAUCGUGGAUCAGCAUGUCACGGUGAAUACGUUCCCGGGUCUU
rnacentral:rRNA from 1 species